AUUGAACGCUGGCGGCAUGCCUUACACAUGCAAGUCGAACGGCAGCACGGGGGCAACCCUGGUGGCGAGUGGCGAACGGGUGAGUAACACAUCGGAACGUGUCCUGUUGUGGGGGAUAACCAGUCGAAAGACUGGCUAAUACCGCAUGAGCUGGAGACAGGAAAGCGGGGGACCUGAAAGGGCCUCGUGCGAUUGGAGCGGCCGAUGUCCGAUUAGCUAGUUGGUGGGGAAAGCCCACCAAGGCGACGAUCGGUAGCUGGUCUGAGAGGAUGAUCAGCCACACUGGGACUGAGACACGGCCCAGACUCCUACGGGAGGCAGCAGUGGGGAAUUUGGACAAUGGGGGCAACCCUGAUCCAGCCAUGCCGCGUGAGUGAAGAAGG
rnacentral:rRNA from 1 species